rnacentral:rRNA from 1 species
UUCGGGAUGCCGGCGAGUGGCGAACGGGUGAGUAAUACGUGGAAACCUAUCCCGAGGUGGGGGAUAACAGCUGGAAACGGCUGCUAAUACCGCAUAAGCCCUAAGGGGGAAAGAUUUAUCGCCUUGGGAGGGGUCCACGUCGGAUUAGCUAGUUGGUAGGGUAAAGGCCUACCAAGGCGACGAUCCGUAGCUGGUCUGAGAGGAUGGACAGCCACACUGGGACUGAGACACGGCCCAGACUCCUACGGGAGGCAGCAGUGGGGAAUAUUGCGCAAUGGGGGAAACCCUGACGCAGCGAUGCCGCGUGGGUGAAGAAGGCCUUCGGGUUGUAAAGCCCUUUCAGUGGGAAAGAUAGUGACGGUACCCACAGAAGAAGCUCCGGCUAACUCCGUGCCAGCAGCCGCGGUAAUACGGAGGGGGCGAGCGUUGUUCGGAAUUACUGGGCGUAAAGGGCGCGUAGGCGGUGCAGCAAG